GACGAACGCUGGCGGCGUGCUUAACACAUGCAAGUCGAACGAAGAGCGAUGGAAGCUUGCUUCUAUCAAUCUUAGUGGCGAACGGGUGAGUAACGCGUAAUCAACCUGCCCUUCAGAGGGGGACAACAGUUGGAAACGACUGCUAAUACCGCAUACGAUCUAAUCUCGGCAUCGAGGAUAGAUGAAAGGUGGCCUCUACAUGUAAGCUAUCACUGAAGGAGGGGAUUGCGUCGGAUUAGCUAGGUGGAGGGGUAACGGCCCACCAAGGCGAUGAUCAGUAGCCGGCCUGAGAGGAUGAGCGGCCACACUGGGACUGAGACACGGCCCAGACUCCUACGGGAGGCAGCAGUGGGGAAUCUUCAGCAAUGGACGAAAGUCUGACGGAGCAACGCCGCGUGAGUGAUGACGGCCUUCGGGUUGUAAAGCUCUGUUAAUCGGGAGGAAAGGCCUUCUUGCGAAUAGUGAGAAGGAUUGACGGUACCGGAAUAGAAAGCCACGGCUAACUACGUG
rnacentral:rRNA from 1 species